UACGGAGGGUGCGAGCGUUAAUUGGAAUGACUGGGCGUAAAGGGCUCGUAGGCGGCCUGUCGCGUCGGAAGUGAAAGCCCACUGCUUAACGGUGGGUCUGCUUCCGGUACGGGCAGGCUGGAGUAUGGCAGGGGAGACUGGAAUUCCUGGUGUAGCGGUGGAAUGCGCAGAUAUCAGGAGGAACACCGGUGGCGAAGGCGGGUCUCUGGGCCAUUACUGACGCUGAGGAGCGAAAGCGUGGGGAGCGAACAGGAUUAGAUACCCGAGUAGUCC
rnacentral:rRNA from 1 species